GAAAAUGGCGGAUGAGGCCGGGCGCGGUGGCUCACGCCUGUGGUCCCAGCACUUUGGGAGGCCGAGGCGGGCGGAUCACAAGGUCAGGAAAUCGAGACCAUCCUGGCGAACACUGUGAAACCCCGUCUCUUCUAAAAAUACAAAAAAAAAUUAGCCAGGCGUGGUGGCGGGCGCUUGUAGUCCCAGCUACUCAGGAUGCUGAGGCAGGAGAAUGGCGUGAACCCGGGAGGCGCAGCUUGCAGCGAGCCAAGAUGGCGCCGCUGCACUCCAGCCUGGGCAGCAGAGCGAGACUCCAUCUCAAAAAAAAAAAAAAAAAAAAAGAAAAGAAAAGAAACUGGCGGACAAAGGAAGAGAUCCUCCUUCAGGCAGGGUAGGGAAGAAGGGCACUCGGUGACCAGAGACCUUUUCCAGGACCAUGUCUUUGAAGCAAAUCUCAGCUCUUGUCUUCCGGAAGCGAUGGAGACAGAAUCCAGAAGCCUGAGACUCUCUCCUUUCCUGGCUUUGAUGAAGCAAGCUGCCACACUGGAGAGGCCUACAUGAUAAGGACCUGAAGGUGGCCUCCAGCUAGCUCCAGCCAACAGUUGGCAAGGAAUUGAGGACCUGAGUCCAAUAGACCUUGAGGAACUGAAUCCUGCAACAGCUACACAAGUGAGCAUGGCAGUGUAUCCUUCCCCAGUAAAGCCUUCAGAUGAGACCCCAGCCCCAGCUGACACCUUGAUUGAAGCCUUGUGAGAGACCCUGAAGCAGAGAAACCAGCUAGGCCUUGCCUGGAUUCCUGAUCCACAAACUGCUUUUGUGAUGCCCUAUAAUUACAUGAACUCUACUAAAAAGAGGGAUACUGGAAAGAAGAAUAAUGUUGAGACACCUUUGCAGAAGAAAAAACAACUUCCUCUCUUCCUCUACUUCACUCUGGCAAGUUCUCCAACCUGACAAGCCAGUAGGGAGUGCCGGAAUGUCAUGGCUGAGAAAAGAGAUGUUAACAGGCUGUAUGAUGUUGGCCACAGAGUGCCCCCCUAAAGAGGCCUCAGAAGAAUGAAGGGUAAGAAGCUCCUCCAUGAAAUCAGAUGGCACAAAAUUAGAGGAAAAAGAGUCCUUGGCAUGAGGCUGCCACCAGGAGAAUUCUGAAGAUGCAGGGCAUGAAUGGUCAAUGCCUUUCGUUGUUGGGGCAGAGGUGGAUGACCCACCAGAGCCACCUAGAGAUAACAUUUCCGGAAAAGUCUUCAAGACGGAGUGCCGGAAUGUCAUGGCUGAGAAAAGAGAUGUUAACAGGCUGUAUGAUGUUGGCCACAGAGUGCCCCCCUAAAGAGGCCUCAGAAGAAUGAAGGGUAAGAAGCUCCUCCAUGAAAUCAGAUGGCACAAAAUUAGAGGAAAAAGAGUCCUUGGCAUGAGGCUGCCACCAGGAGAAUUCUGAAGAUGCAGGGCAUGAAUGGUCAAUGCCUUUCGUUGUUGGGGCAGAGGUGGAUGACCCACCAGAGCCACCUAGAGAUAACAUUUCCGGAAAAGUCUUCAAGACGGCAACAUGACCUACGACGCUUUGGAUCUCCAUGGCAAGCAUUGACACUGGCAAAAAUUAUCUAAUAAACACUUAUAUUGAAUGAGUAAACGUUAGAGAGACAUGGAAGCAAGUAUGAAAGACCUCGCCAGGACUUUAGAUGGACUGAACUGAUCAUAAAAGAAACUUCAGUUCUUGGCCGGGCGCAGUGGCUCACGCCUGUAAUCCCAGCACUUUGGGAGGCUGAGGUGGGUGGAUUACCUGAGGUCGAGAAUUCAAGACCAGCCUAGCCAACAUGGUAAAACUGUCUCUACUGAAAAUACAAAAAUUAGCCAGGUGUGGUGACACGUUCCUGUAAUCCCAGCUACUUGGGAGGCUGAGGCAGGAGAAUCACUUGAACCCGGGAGGCGGAGGUUGCAGUGAGCCAAGAUCCCACUACUGCACUCCAGCCUGGGUGACAGAGUGAGGCUCCAUCUCAAAAAGAAAAAAAAAGAAACUUCAGUUCCUGACAAAUUAUAGACUGGAGACAUAGAGAAAAGAUAAUGAUGUGGAUUCUUGAACAAGGGCACAAGACAAUGAAUUUGCUCAUAAACGUGGGCAGAUCUACCGAUUAGACCUGAGGAACAAUGCCUACUGUGUGCCCAGCACUGUGUAAGUUACUUUCAUAUGUACCAACAGACUAAGAUAACAGUAAGCUGUCAAAACUGACUGAGGUCUCCUUGAAUUCUCUCAGGCUUGAUUGGCCCCAGAGCUGGGGAUGAGAUGAGCAAGCAUGGACUAUGAGGUUGGUUCAGAUGAAUUUUUGUGAACAAUCGUCUGUUGAUGAAAGGACUGCCUUUGAAGACAGUAUCCUUGGUGAUCUUAAGAGUAUGGUCCUCUGAAGCCAGUGUUCAAUAAGAUGUAAAAAUGAGAAGAUUUCAUGCCAUGGAAUUUCUAUCAUAGAUAUGGUUUUUUGUAAUUUUAGCAGUUCCUCUCAACCUUUGCAGCAGUUUUGGAGCCGAGCAGAUGGCAGGGGAGGGCUUAACUAAGUGGUGAAGUUUCAGCUGCAAAAGGCAAUUCCUAGAAUGACAAUUCAGAAACUCAUUUCCCCCAACACUUAUCAUAUUGGCAGAGGGUUAGUGAAUCUUUUUAGAAAAACAAGAAGAAGGCAAUGCAUCAGAAUAAGGCAGCCUAUGUUUGGUUAGGUUAUGUGCAGGCAAACACUACUGAGUCCAAAUCUUUCCUUGCAUUGCAAUUCCCAAGGCAACAGGCCAGUCUUGUUUGUAAAUUAAAUAAUAUCCAAAAUAGCUAAAGCUUAGGAUCUGAAAUAUAAGGCACCUCCAGCACAUGGAGCAACUGCUACAUGCAUCCGAAACCAGGGGAUGACAGUUUCAGCUAAGUUGUUCCAACCCUGGCUGGCAUUAAGGACCCCUAGAGUUUCCAGCUAUAUAUCAUAAGGAAACAGCAAGUUUGUAGAAAGAGCAUAAUCUGUGCUCAAAUCCUGCCUCUGAUACUAAAUAACUAUAUGAUCUUGAAAAAAUUACUUUUCCUCUCUGAGCCUCUUUCCACAAAUGGUGGUGGGGUGGGGGAGGGGAUAAUUGCAAUCUCAAAGGCUUAUUAUAAGAAUUCAGUGUGAUAAUAUACAUGAAAGUAAUGAGCAAACCACAAAUCUUAAACUGGUAUCCAUUUUUCUUCAUUUCUAUUCUGCCUAGCUCGGCAGAAGUUUGUCAAAAUAUCUGUUGCUCUUUCAAACUGCUUCAGCUUUGGCUCAUCCAUAAUUUUUUCUUUAUCUUCAAACAACUUUAAUUAUAAUGGUUUGCUUUUCUUAAAAUUUCAUAGCCCAUAUUCUUUGUGAAUGAGACAGUGAGGUUUGGCUUUUGGGACUUUAGUUUUGAUCCUUUACAAUAUGCAUAUAACAAAAACAAUAAAUGUAUUUUAUAUUCUGAAGCUA
rnacentral:lncRNA from 1 species